rnacentral:sRNA from 1 species
UCCGUUCGAUAACCCUACUGUACGUUGG